GCCCGACUUCGGUUGGGUCCUUAGUGGCGCACGGGUGCGUAACGCGUGGGAAUCUGCCCCCUUGGUUCGGAAUAACAGCUGGAAACGACUGCUAAUACCGGAUGAUGACGUAAGUCCAAAGAUUUAUCGCCGAGGGAUGAGCCCGCGUAGGGUUAGGUAGUUGGUGUGGUAAAGGCGCACCAAGCCGACGAUCCUUAGCUGGUCUGAGAGGAUGAUCAGCCACACUGGGACUGAGACACGGCCCAGACUCCUACGGGAGGCAGCAGUGGGGAAUAUUGGACAAUGGGCGAAAGCCUGAUCCAGCAAUGCCGCGUGAGUGAUGAAGGCCUUAGGGUUGUAAAGCUCUUUUACCCGGGAUGAUAAUGACAGUACCGGGAGAAUAAGCUCCGGCUAACUCCGUGCCAGCAGCCGCGGUAAUACGGAGGGAGCUAGCGUUAUUCGGAAUUACUGGGCGUAAAGCGCACGUAGGCGGCUUUGUAAGUAAGAGGUGAAAGCCCAGAGCUCAACUCUGGAAUUGCCUUUUAGACUGCAUCGCUUGAAUCAUGGAGAGGUCAGUGGAAUUCCGAGUGUAGAGGCGAAAUUCGUAGAUAUUCGGAAGAACACCAGUGGCGAAGGCGGCUGACUGGACAUGUAUUGACGCUGAGGUGCGAAAGCGUGGGGAGCAAAC
rnacentral:rRNA from 1 species